CACGUAGGCGGAUUGAUCAGUUGGGGUGAAAUCCCGGGGCUCAACCCGGAACUGCCUUCAAUACUGUCAGUCUAGAGGUCGAGAGAGGUGAGUGGAAUUCCGAGUGUAGAGGUGAAAUUCGUAGAUAUUCGGAGGAGCACCAGUGGCGAAGGCGGCUCACUGGCUCGAUACUGACGCUGAGGUGCGAAAGCGUGGGGAGCAAACA
rnacentral:rRNA from 1 species